GUUUAAGAAUGGGUUGGUUUGUGCUAUCUCAUCAUUUGUCUUUAGGUUCAACAUGAUUAGACAUCUGAUUAACACUGCUAUAUUGUUGCUCUAUUUUACAGGCUUCUCAGUGAACUCUAUUAUCACACAGACCCCUUCUGACAUACUCUCCAAAAGCAACACAGAAUCAGUGAGUCUUCACUGUUCUCACAGCAGUUCAAGCUUCAACGUCAUCCUCUGGUACAAGCAGCCUCUUAAUGGAGAAAUGCAGCUCAUGGGGUAUCUAUACAGAACAAAUGACAACACAGAACUAGUUUUCAAGGAGAAAAUCAAGCUAUCGGGGAGUGGUGCAAGUAACAGCAAUUUGACACUGAAAAGCCUUUCCUCAGAUGACAGUGCAAUCUAUUACUGUGCUGCAAGAGAACACGGUGCUGUGGGUUUCCUGCACUUCUGCACAAAAACCUUAUCAUGAAUCUCUUAUACGUUACAUCACA